rnacentral:rRNA from 1 species
CCUACGGGUGGCUGCAGUGGGGAAUAUUGGGCAAUGGGGGAAACCCUGACCCAGCCAUGCCGCGUGAGUGAUGAAGGCCUUCGGGUCGUAAAGCUCUGUGGGGAGGGAAAAAGCGAUGUGCCGUGAACAAUGGCGUGUUGUGAUGGUACCUCCUUAGCAAGCACCGGCUAACUCUGUGCCAGCAGCCGCGGUAAUACAGAGGGUGCAAACGUUGCUCGGAAUUAUUGGGCGUAAAGCGCACGUAGGCGGUAUCGUAAGUCCGAUGUGAAAGCCCC